GUGACCUCGGGUCGGACGAGAUUACCCGCUGAACUUAAGCAUAUCAAUAAGCGGAGGAA
rnacentral:rRNA from 1 species